UAAUUUCAAGAAUGCUCAAUCUAAAGCUGCUUUAGCUGCUUUACUGUUUUCUUCAAUAACCCCACAUGCCAUUGCUCUUGAUGAUGCAGCUCCAAUAGCCUCACCCCCACAAGUGAUGGAAGUUGAAGCACCAAACCCCAACACUUCAAAUCCAUUACCCUUUUCUCAAAAUCUAGUCUUGAAUGCUCCAAAGACUCAAGCUUCACCUGUUUCUGACCUUCCUGAAAGUAC
rnacentral:lncRNA from 1 species